rnacentral:rRNA from 1 species
UACCAGCACCCCGAGUGGUCGGGACGUUUAUUGGGCCUAAAGCAUCCGUAGCCGGUUCUACAAGUCUUCCGUUAAAUCCAGCUGCUUAACAGAUGGGCUGCGGAAGAUACUGUGGAGCUAGGAGGCGGGAGAGGCAAGCGGUACUCGAUGGGUAGGGGUAAAAUCCGUUGAUCCAUUGAAGACCACCAGUGGCGAAGGCGGCUUGCCAGAACGCGCUCGACGGUGAGGGAUGAAAGCUGGGGGAGCAAACCGG